UCAGUGAGCUGAGAAUUGGCUUGGAACUGGGUUGAGCAUCAUGAUGGCAAAAAGAAAUCCCUCCCUAGUCACAACAUUUGCCUUCCUUUCAUGUGGAUACCUUUGUAGCUCCUACCAAGAGGUUAAAUCUGUUGUGUUGCGUACGCUGAAUCGAGCCAGGUUAAAUGUGGCUAUAGAUUCCUUCCUUAAGACAGGGAGAGUUCCAACACUGGAGGAGGGAAAUAGGAUG